rnacentral:rRNA from 1 species
GCCUAAACCCUGGCCCCGCUUUUCUCCCAACUUUACCCAACAAAAUAAAACAUUCUCCCCAUUAAGUAACGGCGAUUAAAAAAUAAUUAGGAGCCAUAGAUAUAGUACCGCAAGGGAAAUAAUGAAAUAAAAUGAAAAACACAAAGCACAUUUAAGCAAAGUUUUGAUCUUGUACCUUUUGCAUCAUGGUCUAGCUAGUUUAACCAAGCAGAACGCACUUAAAGUUUGACCUCCCGAAACUAAGCGAGCUACUCUAAAGCAACCUCACAGGGCCAACCCGUCUCUGUAGCAAAAGAGUGGGAAGACUUUAGGGUAGAGGCGAUAAACCUACCGAGCUUAGAGAUAGCUGGUUAUUCAAGAAAAGGAUCUUAGUCCACCUUUAAGUUUUUCAAGUACCCCAAACAUCCUUAAACACCCCAUAAACUUAAAAGCCAUUCAAACAAGGUACAGCCUGUUUGAAAAAGGGAACAGCCUACGACACAGGGUAACGGUUUACCUAAUGUGACCAAGUUGGCCUAAAAGCAGCCAUCUUCCAAAGAGCGUCCAAGCUUUAUCACAAACCCCUCACUAAUCCCAAAAUUAACCCACAACCCCCAACCACUACUGAAUCUCCCCAUACCCCUUAUGGGUGAUAUCAUGCUAGAACUAGUAAAAAGAAAAAGCCCUUCUCCAAAAUGUAAACGUAAGCCAAAAUGAACACUCACCGGCAAUUACCGCCAUAAACCUGCAGUAUCAACAUUACAAGAAAAUUAUACUCCAACUGACGUCAACCUUACACCAGAACAUUCCUGUGAAAGAUUAAAAAGGGGGGAAGGAACUCGGCAAACAUCAGCCCCGCCUGUUUACCAAAAACAUCGCCUCUUGACAAGACAUAAGAGGUCUAGCCUGCCCAGUGAUAAAAUUAAACGGCCGCGGUACCCUAACCGUGCGAAGGUAGCACAAUCACUUGUUCUUUAAAUUAGGACCAGUAUGAACGGCCUCACGAGAGCUACACUGUCUCCCCCCCUCAAUCAGUGAAACUGAUCUCCUCGUGAAGAAGCGAGGAUACCCAUACAAGACGAGAAGACCCCAUGGAGCUUUAAACUUGUACCACCGUCUUCGACUUAUACCAAUAAACUUAGGCAAACAAUGGCUACGAGUCUUUCGGCUGGGGCGACCAUGAAGAAAAACUAAACCUUCACGAUGAAAGGAGACAACUCCUAAUCAAAGAGCUACCACUCAAAGAAUCAAUAAACUGACAUAUUGACCCAAUAUUUUGAUCAACGAACCAAGUUACCCUGGGGAUAACAGCGCAAUCCACUUCAAGAGACCCCAUCGACAAGUGGGCUUACGACCUCGAUGUUGGAUCAGGGUAUCCCAGUGGUGCAGCCGCUACUAAAGGUUCGUUUGUUCAACGAUCAAAACCCU